UACUAUGCUGUUGCAUGUAAUGAGGCUAUUACAUGUAUAGGCAAUAACCUUUACAUCACUCGCAUAGUAAAAAACGUUAUAUAUACUACACACGGGAAAUAAAGUUAUAUCUCGUAUCACGAUGAGUAAAAGUACCUCGGGCUGCCGCCCUCAGAUACUUUUUCUCAUCUAAUUACGAGAUAUCACUUUCCUUCCCUUGUAUAGUAAUGUACUAUUACUCGCUUAUAACUUCA